rnacentral:rRNA from 1 species
UGGGGAAUAUUGCACAAUGGGGGAAACCCUGAUGCAGCGACGCCGCGUGAACGAAGAAGGUAUUCGUAUCGUAAAGUUCUGUCCUAUGGGAAGAUAAUGACAGUACCCUAGAAGAAAGCUCCGGCUAAAUACGUGCCAGCAGCCGCGGUAAUACGUAUGGAGCGAGCGUUGUCCGGAAUUAUUGGGCGUAAAGGGUACGCAGGCGGUUUAAUAAGUCGAAUGUUAAAGAUCGGGGCUCAACCCCGCAAAGCAUUGGAAACUGAUAAACUUGAGUAGUGGAGAGGAAAGUGGAAUUCCUAGUGUAGUGGUGAAAUACGUAGAUAUUAGGAGGAAUACCAGUAGCGAAGGCGACUUUCUGGACACAAACUGACGCUGAGGUACGAAAGCGUGGGGAGCAAACAGG